rnacentral:rRNA from 1 species
AACGAACGCUGGCGGCAUGCCUAACACAUGCAAGUCGAACGAGCCCUUCGGGGCUAGUGGCGCACGGGUGCGUAACGCGUGGGAAUCUGCCCUCUGGUUCGGAAUAACUCAGGGAAACUUGAGCUAAUACCGGAUAAUGACUUCGGUCCAAAGAUUUAUCGCCAGAGGAUGAGCCCGCGUCGGAUUAGCUAGUUGGUGAGGUAAAAGCUCACCAAGGCGACGAUCCGUAGCUGGUCUGAGAGGAUGAUCAGCCACACUGGGACUGAGACACGGCCCAGACUCCUACGGGAGGCAGCAGUGGGGAAUAUUGGACAAUGGGCGAAAGCCUGAUCCAGCAAUGCCGCGUGAGUGAUGAAGGCCUUAGGGUUGUAAAGCUCUUUUACCCGGGAUGAUAAUGACAGUACCGGGAGAAUAAGCCCCGGCUAACUCCGUGCCAGCAGCCGCAGUAACAC